CCUACGGGCGGCAGCAGUGGGGAAUCUUGGUCAAUGGAGGAAACUCUGAACCAGCAACGCCGCGUGAAUGAUGAAGGUCUUCGGAUUGUAAAGUUCUUUUCUAAGGGAAGAAGAAAGUGACGGUACCUUAGGCAUAAGCCUCGGCUAACUACGUGCCAGCAGCCGCGGUAAUACGUAGGAGGCGAGCGUUUUCCGGAAUGACUGGGCGUAAAGGGUGCGUAGGUGGUUUGACAAGUUGGUAGCGUAACUCCGAGGCUCAACCUCGGCACUACUACCGAAACUGUCGGACUUGAGUGCAGGAGAGGCAAUGGGAAGUCCUAGUGUAGCGGUGGAAUGCGCAGAGAUAAGGAGGAACACCGGUGGCGAAGGCGAAUUGCUGGACUGUAACUGACACUGAGGCACGAAAGCGUGGGGAGCAAACAGGAUUAGAUACCCGAGUAGUC
rnacentral:rRNA from 1 species